rnacentral:rRNA from 1 species
UACGAAGGGGGCUAGCGUUGUUCGGAAUCACUGGGCGUAAAGGGCGCGUAGGCGGCCGAUCAAGUCGGGGGUGAAAGCCUGUGGCUCAACCACAGAAUUGCCUUCGAUACUGUUUGGUUUGAGUUCGGUAGGGGUAAGCGGAAUUCCUGGUGUAGCGGUGAAAUGCGCAGAUAUCAGGAGGAACACCGACGGCGAAGGCAGCUUACUGGGCCGAUACUGACGCUGAGGAGCGAAAGCGUGGGGAGCGAACAGG